rnacentral:rRNA from 1 species
UAGGGAAUUUUGCACAAUGGACGCAAGUCUGAUGCAGCAACACUGCGUGAAGGAUGAAGGUUUUCGGAUCGUAAACUUCUUUUAUUAGGGAAUAAUUAUGAAGGUACCUAAUGAAUAAGCACCGGCUAACUACGUGCCAGCAGCCGCGGUAAUACGUAGGGUGCGAACAUUAUCCGGAUUCACUGGGCGUAAAGAGCUCGUAGGUGGUUUUGUAAGUUGGAUAUUAAAGCUCCCGGCUCAACUGGGAAAAAGUAUCCAAAACUGCAUAACUUGAGGUAUACAGGGGAAGAUGGAACUCACGGUGUAGCAGUGAAAUGCGUAGAUAUCGUGAGGAACGCCAAUGGUGAAGACAGUCUUCUGGGUAUAUCCUGACACUGAGGAGCGAAAGCGUGGGGAGCGAACGGG